rnacentral:rRNA from 1 species
UACAGAGGUCUCAAGCGUUGUUCGGAUUCAUUGGGCGUAAAGGGUGCGUAGGCGGCGCGGUAAGUCGGGUGUGAAAUCUGGCCGCUUAACGGCCAGGCGCCAUCCCAUACGGCGCGACUGGAGUGAUGCAGAGGUCGAUGGAAUUGCCGGUGUAGUGGUGAAAUGCGUAGAGAUCGGCAGGAACACCCAGGGGGAAACCAGUCGACUGGGCAUCUACUGACGCUGAGGUGCGAGAGCGUGGGGAGCAAACAGG